UUGGACCUCCUCCCUGUAGGCGGUCUCCUCAUUGUUGAUUACCAGCCCCACCACAGCUGUGUCAUCUGCAAAUUUGAAAAUGGAGUUUGAGUCAUGAAUGGGAGAGCAGUCAUGAAUAGUGAGUAGAGGAGCAGACUGAGAACACAGCCCUGGGGAGUGCUAGUGUUGAGGAUGGUGGUGGAGGAGGUAAUAUUUCCAAGUCUGACAUGCUGGGGUCUGUCAGUGAGAAAGUUCUUAAUCCACUUACAGAGGCCAGGACAAAAGGAGCCACACCGACCAAGGCAAAAAGCCCGUAAACUGAAGCCAAGGAAGACUGGAACUGAAUGACUCAUCGAGCUUCACUGGAACUUGAGGUCUCCUGUCCCCUCCUUACGCAACUUCACUGGUGAGCCGUCUACUGCACCUCGCCUACCCAGCUGAAUUCCACAAUACCUAAACCAACCCUGUACACCAGCCACGCCAUGAGGGAGCUACACUGCUGUACUCCUUACUUUGUUGUACAAAGAAAAAUAAAGCACCCACCUUAGUGGGUUUUCACUUCAA